rnacentral:rRNA from 1 species
CCCCGGGGCCUUGUACACACCGCCCGUCACACCACGAAAGUUGGGUGCAAACCAAAACCGGUGAUUCAACCCGCAAGGGAGAUAACCGACAAAGUUGUGACCAGUGAUUGGGGUG